rnacentral:rRNA from 1 species
CCUACGGGAGGCAGCAGUAAGGAAUAUUGGUCAAUGGAGGCAACUCUGAACCAGCCAUGCCGCGUGCAGGAAGACAGCCCUCUGGGUCGUAAACUGCUUUUAUUCGGGAAUAAACCUCAUUAUGUAUAGUGAGCUGAAUGUACCGAAGGAAUAAGAAUCGGCUAACUCCGUGCCAGCAGCCGCGGUAAUACGGAGGAUCCAAGCGUUAUCCGGAUUUAUUGGGUUUAAAGGGUGCGUAGGCGGCUUUUUAAGUCAGGGGUGAAAGACGGUAGCUCAACUAUCGCAGUGCCCUUGAUACUGAAGAGCUUGAAUGGACUAGAGGUAGGCGGAAUGUGACAAGUAGCGGUGAAAUGCAUAGAUAUGUCACAGAACACCGAUUGCGAAGGCAGCUUACUAUGGUUUUAUUGACGCUGAGGCACGAAAGCGUGGGGAUCAAACAGGAUUAGAUACCCUGGUAGUCCACGCCCUAAACGAUGAAUACUCGCUGUUAGCGAUACACAGUUAGCGGCUAAGCGAAAGCGUUAAGUAUUCCACCUGGGGAGUACGGUCGCAAGAUUGAAACUCAAAGGAAUUGACGG